UUCCCGUCUAGUGCUGGCCCUGCGAACCCCCCCCACCCCCGGCACAGCUCCGGCUCGCCCACGGGCUAGUGCAGCUCUCGCUGUCCCAGCCCCGCCGGUGAACGCUCCAGCCCGGCAUCGCCUCGCCCCGGCCCCAGGGCCUCCAGCCCAGCCAUAAAGGUCACCCUGAGCAUCAUCACCAUGUGGAAGGGAUCCCACACCUGCAUCUCUCUCCCACGCAGCAUCUCCCCGGGGACAUGGAUUCAAAUGCCACCCUCCCGAGAGAUCCCUCUCAGCCGCUGCUAAACCAAACGCUGCCCACGCAUGAGACCUUCCUGAAGGCAAAUGUCCUCAAGUUGAUCUGGAAAAAAAAACAAAACCUGAGUGUCAAGUUUGUAAGGCCUCUGCUGGAACCACUGCUGCAAAUCAGCCUCUUCCAGCUACAAGCAGGACCAAAACUCUCCACCUGAAUAGCAUCACUCCCACUGCCUUGGUCCAGCACAGUAAACAGGUGAAGCUGUUGAGUUUAAAUAAAAAAAAAAC